rnacentral:rRNA from 1 species
GACGAACGCUGGCGGCGUGCUUAACACAUGCAAGUCGAACGGUAAGGCCCUUUCGGGGGUACACGAGCGGCGGACGGGUGGGUAACACGCGGGUGAUCAGCCUUGCACUUUGGGAUAAGUCUGGGAAACUGGGUCGAAUACCGGAUAGGACUACGCGACGCAUGCCGUGUGGUGGAAAGCUUUUGCGGUGGGGGAUGGGCGCGCGGCCUAUCAGCUUGUUGGUGGGGUGGUGGCUUACCAAGGCGACGACGGGUAGCCGGCCUGAGAGGGUGACCGGCCACACUGGGACUGAGAUACGGCCCAGACUCCUACGGGAGGCAGCAGUGGGGAAUAUUGCACAAUGGGCGCAAGCCUGAUGCAGCAACGCCGCGUGGGGGAUGACGGCCUUCGGGUUGUAAACCGCUUUCGGCUGUGACGAAGCGUGAGUGACGGUAAUGGGUAAAGAAGCACCGGCUAACUACGUG